UACGUAGGCAGCGAGCGUUGUUCGGAAUUACUGGGCGUAAAGAGUGUGUAGGCGGUGCCCUAAGUUCGGUGUGAAAUCUCCCGGCUUAACUGGGAGGGUGCGCCGGAAACUGGAGUGCUCGAACGUGGGAGAGGAAAGCGGAAUUCCUGGUGUAGCGGUGAAAUGCGUAGAUAUCAGGAGGAACACCUGCGGUGUAGACGGCUUUCUGGACCAUUGUUGACGCUGAGACACGAAAGCGUGGGUAGCAAACAGG
rnacentral:rRNA from 1 species